rnacentral:rRNA from 1 species
GCAAUACCGCGAGGUGGAGCAAAACUUCAAAAAUGGUCUCAGUUCGGACUGUAGGCUGCAACUCGCCUACACGAAGUUGGAAUUGCUAGUAAUCGUGGAUCAGCAUGCCACGGUGAAUACGUUCCCGGGUCUUGUACACACCGCCCGUCACACCAUGGGAGCUGGUAACACCCGAAGUCAGUAGUCUAACCGCAAGGAGGACGCUGCCGAAGGUGGGAUUAGCGACUGGGGUGAAGUCGUAACAAGGUAGC